UACGAAGGGGGCUAGCGUUGCUCGGAAUCACUGGGCGUAAAGCGCACGUAGGCGGCUCGUUAAGUCAGGGGUGAAAUCCUGGAGCUCAACUCCAGAACUGCCUUUGAUACUGACAGGCUCGAGUCCGGGAGAGGUGAGUGGAACUGCGAGUGUAGAGGUGAAAUUCUUUGAUACCAUGACGACUGGUAAAGGCGAAAGCAACCUUUUAUCUAAUAACUGACGUUGAGGGACGAAGGCUCGGGUCGCGAACAGG
rnacentral:rRNA from 1 species